UAAAGAUUAAAAGUUUUAUUAAAGAGAUCAUCUAAGUUAAGGAAAGAAAAAUUGACCUAGACUAAAAAAGAAGGUAUCCAGUAUCGUUAUACAAACUUAGUUCAAAUGUGUUUCUGGUACGUGCUUUCAUUUCUCGCUCGUUCUGCUCCCGUUUCUAACAUUAUCCUUGCUCUUUGAAAUAUUUCGAAAGAAAGAAGUUGUGAAUGAUAUAAAGUUAAUCAAGUAACGUUAAUUAAAUGUGAAAUAUUAUGUAAUCGACAUUACAUGUUUUCUUUUUUUUUUUUUCAUCAUUAUGAUUAAAAAUGAGCAUUCUAAUACGAAAUUAUUCAUUAGAUACUUUUUUCUAUUUUUAUUAGGAAUUCGAUAUUUAAGGACAUUUUUCAGGUAUCACACGUCAUGAUCAUCUCCCGUUACGGUUUUCUAGAAAUAAGCUAUUGGUUACGCGAAAACGUACUUGGAUAUCUAUUCGUGCAUAAACGUUCGCUAGCAUAAACGUAUAAAAUCACGACAUGCAUAUAUGAUCGAUAGGCAUUCAUAGCUCUUGAUCCGUAUAAUUCUCCCGCACAAGAGGAUACUAUGACUGCAUUGUCUGGCUGUCGACUCCUCGUAUAUCGCAAUUUUGACCGAUCCGUUUUACGCUUUAUUCGAAAAAUAGAUAUUUUCGCAUAUCUACCUGCUUCCUUUCUUUAUGUCACGAUCUUUGAUCGAGGAAAGAAAAAUGUCUAUUCGAGUAUCGAUUCUAUUCGGAUAUAUCAAUCCCGCUUCCGUCGGAAAAAGUAAGAAAAGAAACAGAGUAGGAACGCUUAAAAAUGGAAAAGAAUAACUUUUUUAUAUCUUUUAAGUGUUAAUAUGUCAAAAUUUGAAAUGUGUGCAAUUUAGCGAAAGAUCAAGAUAGUUUAACGAAUUCUUAUUUUUGUUUUGUUUUCUUUUGAUGGAUUCUUUUAACGACUUUCUAUAUCUAUCAUCUUUAUCAAAAAACGAUUAUAGUCAUCAUGAAGUAACUUUGGAUUUUAUGAAAGUAGAAAGAGCUCAAUAAAUAUAAAUAACUAAUAUGCAUCUUACACGAUCAUUUCCAAUAAUAGAGACGUUGCAUGAAAGCGUAGGACUAUUUGCCAAUAAAGCUUUGUCUUCUUCUACAUUCGUUCUGCAUUCGAGACAACCCUCGAAAGGCCACCGAAAGGGCUUUUGGUCGUGAAUGAUGGCAAGGGCAACGACGAACGAAGUCGAAGAGGAUAAGAACGAAAGGAAUGAUGAAUAAAGGAAGACGGGUGGAUAUGAACAGAGAAAGAAAGAAAAAGAGAGAGGAACACCUCGAACGGUUGGCGUGAGGGGAAGUCGUUUCGUCAAUGGCCACCCUAUGUAUAGCUGUAUAUCACAAUACAGAACACUAGAAAGAGAAAAAAAUUGCCAAAGAAGAAGUCCUAUUUGACCUUAUUCAGGAAGAUUUUCUAAGUGUAAAUAGCAGUAAAAGGACGUCUGUACUCUCUACCUGCUGGACACUUUCUUUGCUGUCAACGGCCACCUUUUUUGUUCUGAAAGAUUGAAAUGUAACAUUGACGCAUCGUCGACCUACUGAGGUCGAUGGACAAUCGAGACUCGAGAAUUUCGAUACACUUUAACACAUCUUUCUAAGAAUUUUGUCCUUUUUGACCGAUUCUUCGACAUCUUUCAAAAAAAUGUCUUUUCAAGGAAAAUUCAGUUAUUUAUGACUUUUUUUAUUAUGUAGAUAUUCGGGAUGUGUUUAUCCUGAUAAUAUCGAAACAAUAUGAUUAAACUUCACAACAUUGUAAAGUAUUUUUCGAAAAAUGUAAAAGGCGCCGAUCCCACUUGGAACUUCAUUUGGUAUAAAAGAGCCUGUAUGAAAUUUAGCACCUAGAAGACAGUUACGAUGCGCAUCAGAAACGUUUCUUCUUAGACGGUUGUAAACCGCUAAUUUCACAGUCGUUUAAAAGACGAUAACUCAUAGAGAUUUACAAUACGUUUUAGUAAUAACUGUUCGCUCUCGACACGAUAUUCCAUUAAUAUUCAGAAAAGUAUAGUUUAUGGGAAUAAUUUUUCGAAAUAUUUAAUGAUUUUAAUGAAAACUCUAACAAAUCUUCGAAAGAGAUAAAUUCCAUUGAUUUUUUUCGAGUUUCGCCGAUUACAAAAUACUACAUUCUAUGAAGUGAGAAGAACCGUGACGAUUCCACGGGUGGUCUUCGAACAACAACCCUUCAGGGUUCUUGUAAAGUAGUAGCAACAGUCGAGCACCUCUUUAACACUCUACUCUCUCUCUCUCAUUUUCUUCAGUUCGUGAUCGAACGGUGAGCAAGGACUUCUCGAUGGGAUGUACGAAGUGGCCCCGUCGCGAGCUUUCUUCUCUCAAUUAAGCGCGACAGUGUCGAGAAAAACGUAUGCAGCUGCCAUUUAAACGCCCAUCUACACGAGAUUUAGUUUUUGCCCACGCGUUCAUGAGAAACAGAGAGAAGAAGAAAGAAAGAAUGGGAAAAAUACAUACGGGUUUUGCUUGUGCAGAGAUCAUUGAUACCAUGAACAAUCAUUAUAAACGGUUUUUCUACGGACGCCCUGGGAACAGGAUUGAAAAGAGAAGGUAGGAAUAAGAACUGGUCGGUACGAUGACAUCGAGAUUUUUAUGAUUCCGCCCAGAUAGCGGGACGAAUGGAAGACGAUUAAAUCGAUUGAUUCAACAUGAGUCAUUGUCGAAGUUUGAAAACCAAUGAAAUAGUUAACUAGCUUUGAAGUAAAAGCGCCGUAAAAUGGAAGGGAUCUGGCGUGAAAGUUAAGAUUAGAUGAUGUGUAAAUGAGAAACCAAAUUUUAAGUAAUUAUGAUAUAUCAAUGGUUGUUAAAAACGAAUAAUAUAUAAAUAUUUAUUAACGAAGAAGAGACAAAAAUAGAUAUGACUUUUUCUUAAUUGAUCUUUUUCUUAAACAGGGUUUUAGUUAAACUCUUUUAAAGUUCUUGCAAAGUUUUUCAAAGGAUGUCCUAUUUUAAUGGUUCCGCACGAAUACUGUUAUAUCCAUGCAAUUUGCUAAUGAGCAUGAAACUUUUUAAAGAAGACGCUAGCGUGAAAUUGUAUCUCAUGAAAGAGGGGAAACAAGAACGGGUACGUCGUCGCUAAAGUCGGGGGUGAUUUUGACGAGAGGGUGCAUCACCUGGUAGAACCAUCUAUCACACGAUACGAAAAGGAAGAGGGGACUCCAAAGAAAGUGAGAAACAGAAAGAACAUGGACACACGGACACAUGCGCACAAAGACAUCUACUAAGCGAGGGAGGAACAAACGAAAGGGACGUAUCCACAAUUUGUCCUCGUCACGUUUAACGUGGCUGCCUUCGGGAAAAGGGCCAAAAGGGGUUGGAGCUGAACGAUAGAACCCUGGCGUUCGCAGUUAUAACCUUGUUACAUCCACUGUAUAUUACAGCACACACCUAUCUUACACUCUCACAGCCUGUCCAUUAACUUCUCGUCGUAGGAUAUUAACAUUUUGUACAUUACUGAAAGAGAGAGAGAGAAUAUAAAGAGAGUAAGAGGAAAGGAUAUGCAUGAUCGUAAAACGCAGCCGGUGUUGGAUGCUCACCUACAUGUAAGUUCAGACAAAUUUUUUACAGCCAAACCUUAUGUGGAAUCCUUUGAUUUGAAUAUUAUUACACAAUAAUGAUGGUUUAGUAAUUUAUUUGCCAAUUUGUUUUACAUUUUAUCCUACAUAAGAAAUUUGUUAUCAAUCUAGGGAAUGUGAUUUAUUACAUUAAUAAUAAUUUUUUUUUAUUAUUAUUUUAUUCUUUUUUAUAAAAAGUCACAGGAAUAAAAUAAACGUAAACAUAGGAAAAUCUAAGGAUAACUGAACUAUAUUUUUUUACGGAGAAUAACUUAGUUAUAUACUUUUAUUAUAUCAAAUUGAUAAAAAAUAUCUAUCGACUACCGCCCAGUUAUAAGGUAUAAUAAAAUUAUAAAAUAAGCCUGAAGUAUAAAUGAAAUAUAAAUUUUUACAAAACGAAUUUUUUUAAAUAAAAAAAAAAUUACAGACAUCUACACGAUUCUUCGAAUCGCUAUUUUUACUUCGCUUAAUUAUUAAUUAAAUCGCACAUUUUUUCGAUAGAAUUCACGAGUGUCGUGUUUAACACCUAUGUAAAAAUUAGUAGACCCAAGAAUUUGAUAUGUAUUCAAGAGAAAUGCGAAACUCAAUGUGACGUGAUAAGUCUCGACAGGCAAUUAAGCCUGUCGCUGUAAUUCCCUAAUUCUCAUAAUAAUCAAACCGAUGCUGCCAUUGUUCUUGUACCGGCUAUUGUCUUAGCCGCACUUCGUACUUUUGUGCCACCCAUGCAAUAUGCCUCUUUGUUCUCUAUAAUCAGCCGUUACACGUCUUUCAGUUCAAGUUUGCAUUAAACCGCUUAAAUGGCAGGGUGGUCUGGAUCUUUUUCCUAUUAAAAGAUCGGGAUAAAAUUAAUUUUUAAUGGUAUCUGGCAACUUAUAAAAAAUAAAAUAUCAAACUGGUCCGAUUAAAAUAUUCAUCAUCGAUCAAAAAAAUAUUGACUAGUUAGUAAUAACAAAUAACAUCAAUUAAAGGAUUCUCCAAAGGUUUUCACGAACACGUGUUUCUUACCAAAAAUAGAAAACCAUUUUAUACUGAUUUGUCACAUCAUGUUUGGAAAAUAACUGCCCCCUAAGAGUUCGCAUCGGUGGUCCUCGACAUUUCCUGGAGAGGAUCUCGAAGGAUCGAGGAUGCAGAUGUUUAUUUUGACGCAAUGGACUAAGCUCACGACUUUUCGAGAGGAUACUCAAAGCUAUUGAGAAACUUUCGUUCUGCAUUCCGACAAUUUUACCGGAUUGACUCGCACGUUCUCAGCCAGACAAUGAACAUCCUUCGGUAAUAUGUGCAAUCCUCACGAUAUAAGAGCAACAGUAUCGACAGCAAUAGCAAAAUAAAGUAAAAAGAAGUAACGAAAGAAAGGAAAGCUUCCUUCUCGAGGAGUUUCGAUUACACGGUUACUUUGGUCUCGUCAAUAGAAAACGGGCAUACAGAAAGAAAACAGGAGACGAGAUCACGUCUCUUAUGGUGAUCGCGCGUUCUUCAGAAACACUGCAAGAAAAGAAAAAGAA